rnacentral:lncRNA from 1 species
GGCAUGGAUGGUGAUCCUUCUGUCCAGUCUACGCUGGCCAUGCUGGCCCUGAGGCCUGGAACUGGGGAGCACGAGCAGGAUGACAUCUCCAGUGUCUGUCUGGGUCACCUGUUAGCGGAUGAGAAGUCCAGCCUUACUGCCUGUUCUCCACCUGCAUUUAGGCUUCAUCCCUGGAAUGUCACCUUCUGUCUUCUGGAAAACGUCUAGGCUCUGCUGCCAUACAGAACCCUUCUGCUUCCUUAAGGAGACGGUCCACUGUCCCCUUGUCUUCUCUCCUCUAAGCAAGAGGGGCCCCUGCCCGUUGCCCUUUCCUGGAUGGAGCAUGAGUUUUGAUGUCAGGCAGGUCUGGGUUUGAAGCCUCGUUUGUCUUGCCUUCAGAAUAACCUCUCUAAGCCUCAGUUUUAUAGCCCGAAAAUGGGGGUGAUUAUAACUCCUGAAGGGAAGUUUUGGGAUUGGCUGAUACAUAAGAUACUUAGCACAGUGCCUGGCACACAGUAAGCGAUCAAUAAAUGGUAGCAUUUAUA